rnacentral:rRNA from 1 species
AUACGAAGGGUGCAAGCGUUAAUCGGAAUUACUGGGCGUAAAGCGUGCGUAGGCGGUUUGUUAAGUCUGCUGUGAAAUCCCCGGGCUCAACCUGGGAAUGGCAGUGGAUACUGGCAAGCUUGAAUGUGGUAGAGGAUAGUAGAAUUCCUGGUGUAGUGGUGAAAUACGUAGAUAUCAGGAGGAAUACCUGUGGCGAAGGCGGCUAUCUGGACCAACAUUGACACUGAGGCCCGAAAGCGUGGGGAUC